AUUGAACGCUGGAGGCCGGCCGAACACAUGCAAGUCGCACGAGUGGCGGACGGGUGAGUAAUGUCUGGGAAACUGCCUGAUGGAGGGGGAUCAAUAAUGGAAACGGUAGCUAAUACCGCAUACCAUCAGCUGUGCUCAGAUGGGAUUAGCUUGUUGGUAGGGUAACGACUCACCAAGGCGACGAUCCCUCACUGGUCUGAGAGGAUGCCCAGCCACACUGGAACUGAUACACUGUCCAGACGCCUACGGAAGGCAGCAGUGGGGGAUAUUGCACAAUGGGCGCAAGCCUGAUGCAGCCAGGCCGCGUGUAUGGAGAAGGCCUUCGGGUUGUAAAGUACUUUCAGCGGGGAGGCGUUACCAGCAGAAGAAGCACCGGCUAACUCCGGACCAGCAGCCGCGGUGAUAG
rnacentral:rRNA from 1 species